rnacentral:rRNA from 1 species
UACGUAGGGACCGAGCGUUGUCCGGAAUCAUUGGGCGUAAAGAGCGUGUAGGCGGCCUUUUAAGUCCUGCGUGAAAUCCUGCGGCUCAACCGCAGACGGUCGUGGGAAACUGGAAGGCUAGAGUGCGGGAGAGGAGAGUGGAAUUCCUGGUGUAGCGGUGAAAUGCGCAGAUAUCAGGAGGAACACCGAUGGCGAAGGCAGCUCACUGGGACGGUACUGACGCUGAGACGCGAAAGCGUGGGGAGCGAACAGG